rnacentral:rRNA from 1 species
UUGGAGGGCAAGUCUGGUGCCAGCAGCCGCGGUAAUUCCAGCUCCAAUAGCGUAUAUUAAAGUUGUUGCAGUUAAAAAGCUCGUAGUUGAAUUUCGGGAUCAAUAUUUCGGUCAUGCCGUUGGUAUGCACUGUUAUCAUUGAUUUCUCACCUUCUAAAGAACCGUAAUGCCAUUAAUUUGGUGUUACGGGGAAUUAGGACUGUUACCUUGAAAAUAAGUAGUAGUU